AAUGCGCAGAUAUCGGGAGGAACACAGAUGGAGCAGGCAGCUCCUUGGGAUGCACCUGACGCUAAGAGGCGAAAGCUAGGGGAGCGAACAGGAUUAGAGUCCGUGGUAGUCCUAGCUGUAAACGCUGGGUGCUAGGUGUGGGACGUAGAAGUUCUGUGCCGGAGCAAACGCGAUAAGCACACCGCCUGGGAAUUACGCUCGCAAGGAUAUAAUUCAAAUGAACAGACGUCACCCCGCACAAGCAGCGGAGCGUGUGGUUCAAUUUGCUGAUACACGAAGAACCUUACCUGGGUUUGACAUGUACGUAGUACGAAGGCGAAAGCUUAAGGACCCUUUGGGGAGCGUACACAGGCGGGGCAUGGCUGUCGUCAGCUCGUGCGUUGAGUCGUCGGUUUAAGUCCCGUAAAAAGCGCAACCCUUGUCCUUAGUUACAAGUGUCUAAGGGGACUGCCGGCGGGAAGCCGGAGGAAGGUGGGGAUGACGUCAAGUCAGCAUGGCCGUUGUGUCCAGGGCUCCACACACGCUACAAUGGUCUGUACAAAGGGUAGCGACGUCGCGAGGCGGAGCGAAUAUCAACAAAGCAGCUCGUAGUUCGGAUGGCAGGUCGCAACCCGCCUGCAUGAUUUCCUGAGUUGAUAGUAGUCGCGCGUCAGCCAUAGUGCGGUGAAUAGUUACCCGGGGCUUGUACACAGCGCCCGUCACGUCAUGGGAGUCGGUAACGCCUGAAGCCGGUAGUGACGCCCGCAAGGGAGGACCAUGUAGAAGG
rnacentral:rRNA from 1 species